UGGGGAAUUGUUAACAAUGGGCGCAAGCCUGAUGACGCAACGCCGCGUGGAGGAUGAAGGUCUUCGGAUUGUAAACUCCUGUUGCCAGGGACGAAUGGCUCCGACCUAAUACGUCGGAGAAUGACGGUACCUGGUGAGGAAGCCCCGGCUAACUCUGUGCCAGCAGCCGCGGUAAUACAGAGGGGGCAAGCGUUGUUCGGAAUUACUGGGCGUAAAGGGCGCGUAGGCGGCCUUCUAAGUCGAACGUGAAAUCCCCGGGCUCAACCCGGGAACUGCGUCCGAUACUGGGAGGCUUGAAUCCGGGAGAGGGAUGUGGAAUUCCAGGUGUAGCGGUGAAAUGCGUAGAUAUCUGGAGGAACACCGGUGGCGAAGGCGGCAUCCUGGACCGGUAUUGACGCUGAGGCGCGAAAGCCAGGGGAGCAAACGGG
rnacentral:rRNA from 1 species